rnacentral:rRNA from 1 species
GAUGAACGCUGGCGGUAUGCUUAACACAUGCAAGUCGAACGGACUCUUCGGAGUUAGUGGCGGACGGGUGAGUAACGCGUGAGAAUCUGGCUUUGGGUUCGGGACAACCACUGGAAACGGUGGCUAAUACCGGAUGUGCCGAGAGGUAAAAGAGAAAUUGCCUGAAGAUGAGCUCGCGUCUGAUUAGCUAGUUGGUGAGGUAAAGGCUCACCAAGGCAGCGAUCAGUAGCUGGUCUGAGAGGAUGACCAGCCACACUGGGACUGAGACACGGCCCAGACUCCUACGGGAGGCAGCAGUGGCGAAUUUUCCGCAAUGGGCGAAAGCCUGACGGAGCAAUACCGCGUGAGGGAAGAAGGCUCUUGGGUUGUAAACCUCUUUUCUUAGGGAAGAACAAAAUGACGGUACCUAAGGAAUCAGCAUCGGCUAACUCCGUG